AAUAUACAAGGUGCAACAUACAGAGAUAACAAUAAGUAAAAUCCCAAUGAGGUGAUCAAAAGAUACAGCAGCUACUCUUGUCAAAGCAAGGGUCCAAAAUUGGGUUAGUGCUGUCUGAAACACAGAAAGGAGAGCUAUUGAUUCCUCUUUAUUCAAGGAGUGGUUACAUAACCUCCAAAGUGAGACUGGGGUUAUUCUAGCUGAUGGUACAAUGGCUCUGAGACAAGUUCAAAUUCAGACAUUGACUGCUUGUGCGGAAUUCUACAGCAGAGAACUUGCAAGCAUCUAGUCACUCUUGUCAUGAUAUCAAGCAUUCCCUAUUAAAAUCACAAACUCCCCCAUUCUUUACAAACCAUUGUUAAGAUGGGACAAUGUUAUCAAGUGGAGGCACCAUAAUAAUUGAUACCUCAAACUUCUUCAUCCACUAAUACU